rnacentral:rRNA from 1 species
CCUACGGGCGGCUGCAGUGGGGAAUAUUGGACAAUGGGCGCAAGCCUGAUCCAGCCAUGCCGCGUGUGUGAAGAAGGCCUUCGGGUUGUAAAGCACUUUCAGUCGGGAAGAAAGCCUUGGGUCUAAUACCCUCGAGGAAGGACAUUACCCACAGAAGAAGCACCGGCUAACUCCGUGCCAGCAGCCGCGGUAAUACGGAGGGUGCGAGCGUUAAUCGGAAUUACUGGGCGUAAAGCGCGCGUAGGCGGUCUGAUAAGCCGGUUGUGAAAGCCCCGGGCUCAACCUGGGAACGGCAUCCGGAACUGUCAGGCUAGAGUGCAGGAGAGGAAGGUAGAAUUCCCGGUGUAGCGGUGAAAUGCGUAGAGAUCGGGAGGAAUACCAGUGGCGAAGGCAGCCUUCUGGGCUGACACUGACGCUGAGGGGCGAAAGCGUGGGUAGCAAACAGGAUUAGAUACCCGGGUAGUC